GGAGGAGUGGCAGAGCGGUCGAUUGCACCGGUCUUGAAAACCGGCAUGCGCGCCAGCGCAUCGUGGGUUCGAAUCCCACCUCCUCCGCCA
rnacentral:tRNA from 1 species